CCUCCAAUCAGUCAAGAAUACCCGCUGAAUUUAAGCAUAU
rnacentral:rRNA from 1 species